ACUGCGGAAAGACACGGAGGCCUGUACAGGACCGCGGUGCGCUCACACACCAACGCCCCACUCGUUCGCACCGUCAGGGGCAGCGAGCUGAAAGCAACUCACACGGGGAACGAGCGUGAAGCGACGCGGGGAUGGGGUGCUUCCAGAGGCUUAACACCGAACCCCUCCUGCGGAGCGCUGGUGAAGCUGCCUUGAGAACAACGACGCCCAACAUGCAACGCGCCCCGCUGGGCGGGCCUCGUCCUCAGCACCCUACGGCGAGAUUCAGUGAUGGCUGAAGAGUACAUGACACAAGCUGGCAGGUGGUACAGCAUAAGAUUUACACAUAAAUGAAGAUCGCAAGGCAGUCUAACCUUCUGACUUGAGUGGACUAAAUAAUUUUACCUUGUUAGAGUUUUGGUGAAAUUAAAGUUCAUGUCUUUAGAAGAGCAAUGGUCUAUAUCUCAAUAUAUCAAUCAGCUGGC